UGAGAACAGUUGUGGAAGACAUCAAUCCUCGCCACCCCCCGCCUCCACAGGAUCAAAAGGCCACCAGACAGCCCCUGGGACUCGACUGCAUAGGUCUCCCAGUCCCUCCCCAGGCGUCGCCUCAGUCGACCAAGCCCAUCACCAGACAAACGUGUCUCGCAGAGAAAACAAAUCUCAGGACAGUGGAGCUGUACUAGCCGUUUAAAGGAGGACAUGAAGGCCGACUUGGCCGCCCCCCUACAAUUCCAGGCUAGAAUCCUCAUGGAUCAACAACUGCUCGGUCGGCCUCAAGUACAUCCUCCCCCUGGGCCUCGGGAGCUAGCUCA
rnacentral:lncRNA from 1 species